AUAACUAUUUUUUUAUGAAUGUAAAAUUACUUUUUAUAUAAACUGAAAAAAGUUAAACUACCAUUCUCAAUUAUGAGUAAUAAAGAUGCAAGUAUAGUUACAAUCAAAUGAUCACAACCUAAGAUGAAAGAAAGACAGUUAUAAAUAUUGACAAAUCUAAAUCUUGACUAAAGAACUAAAGAGAUGCAAGAUGCACGCAAAAGUAGUUCACUGUCUUCAAGUUCUAAACUUCUAGAAUCAGAACGAUAAGUGAAACAUCACAAUUGUUUGCACAUUAGAGAAGCAAGUCCUGAUAUUGAAGUAAAAAAAUUUGCAAAAUGUAAGUUUAUCUGUUUUUAUUUAACAUUUUAUGCUAAAUAAAACCAGAUAAAUGUUUUUCGAAUAAUUAAAAAUGUGUAUGUAUUUUUAACAAGGUGCUAAUUAAUACAUUAUACAUAAUUAUACAUUAUAAAUAAUACAUAAAACAUUUCUUCAACAAGUUAAAAAAGAAUUUCAGCAAUGCAUUGUUGCACUUAAUGUUAUGAUAAACUGCUAUUAAGUUUUAAGUCUAUUAGUGGAACAAGUAUGUUAUUAAAUGUUUUCUUUUCCUUUUUUAAAAUAUGUUUCUUGUAUUUAACUUAAUUUUCAGUUUUCUACAAUAGUUUUUUAUCAAUACUUUACUUAGUUCGAACUUUAUUUUUCUAAUAGGUUUUCAAUCUUUAAUAUAUAUGGAACUACGAUACCAAAAGUCUUUACCUGCAGUGGAUAUUCAAGGGGAAAAGACUGAGUUUGAAGAUUCUUAAUUUGAUUAUAAUAAAAUAAAUGAUUUAACAAGAUUUGAUGAAAGUAAAAUAGUUUUAAAUAAUAAAGCAAAGUUUUAUUUGUUGCUAUGUUCUUGUUAACAUUUAUGUAUAAAGUUUUCUAAAUAAAGUAAAAUGUGAUCAAACUAAUUAUAUUCUAUGAUUUUUUAAGAUCUUUGUCAGCUCUGCUCCUAAUGUUUCGGAUGAAAUAAUGUCAAAAUGUGUUCUACCAUUGUUUAAGAAAGCUGGAACUUAUGGAAAUAGAUCAUAUAAAAAAAACUUUAUUGAGCAGAGUAAUUGUAGUUACUUUUUAAAUUUUUAUAUUGCAUGAAAGAUUUCUAUGGUAUUUUUCUUUUUUAGGAACAUUAGAGUCACAUACAGCAAAUUUGAUUUGGUCGAUAAGUGAAAAGGCGAUUGUUUGAAAAAAUAAUAGAAUAAAUAGCUUAAUAGAGUAGCAAAAAACUACUUCAAUGUGUUUUUGUAUGCUUAAAUUGUAA